rnacentral:rRNA from 1 species
AUUGAACGCUGGCGGCAUGCUUUGCACAUGCAAGUCGAACGGUAACAGGCCGCAAGGUGCUGACGAGUGGCGAACGGGUGAGUAAUGCAUCGGAACGUGCCCAGUCGUGGGGGAUAACGCAGCGAAAGCUGUGCUAAUACCGCAUACGAUCUAUGGAUGAAAGCGGGGGACCGUAAGGCCUCGCGCGAUUGGAGCGGCCGAUGUCAGAUUAGCUAGUUGGUGGGGUAAAGGCCCACCAAGGCGACGAUCUGUAGCGGGUCUGAGAGGACGACCAGCCACACUGGGACUGAGACACGGCCCAGACUCCUACGGGAGGCAGCAGUGGGGAAUUUUGGACAAUGGGCGCAAGCCUGAUCCAGCAAUGCCGCGUGCAGGAAGAAGGCCUUCGGGUUGUAAACUGCUUUUGUACGGAACGAGACGGUCUGGGUUAAUACCCUGGGCUAAUGACGGUACCGUAAGAAUAAGCACCGGCUAACUACGUGCCAGCAGCCGCCGUAAGAC